AACGAACGCUGGCGGCGGGGUUUAGGCAUGCAAGUCGAGCGAGAAAGUCUUCGGACGAGUAAAGCGGCGUAAGGGUGAGUAAUAGGUAGUCAACGUAUCCACGAGACGCGAAUAAUUCCCCGAAACGGGUUGUAAUGCGCGAUGAGACCACAGUUCCCACCGGGGAGUCGAGGUCAAAGGUUCGGGAUCCUUCGGGACCGAGCGGCUCAUGGAGCGGACGACCUCCGAUUAGCUAGAUGGCGGGGUAACGG
rnacentral:rRNA from 1 species